ensembl:lncRNA
GGCCUGCACGUCGGUCGCACAUCACCAGCGAACUGAUAAACGUGCAGUAUAAAGAAACGCUUCAUGAAACGCCACAUGGUUCUAAGCUAACGCCUCUGCUAAGCUACACCAGGGUGCUGGAGGAAACAUCCCACUUAUUGAAGUGGAGUUUUUGGUUUGGCUUUUUAGACAAACAAAAUAACACGCAAGACUCGUUCUCCAAACUCCGAGUGAGCGGUGAUGUUGCAGAAGCUUCUCCUCUGUGUGAGCAGCUAAGGAGCUGCAGAAACAUGGCUGCCUCCAAACGGUGCUGCAGGUCCUGCUGCUGUCCACAGAGCUGAAGACUAGCAGAGGUUUCCUGCCGCGCAGAGAUGCAGAGAUCACCGUCAUGUACGUUCAGCCCUGAGACUAAAGGGAAGGAGACAGAAGUUCAUCUACCACACACACACACAACAUGGCUUCUGCAGACCUGAGAGAAGCGCUGGCUUUAGCUGCUCCCCGUGCCACAUGGCCCCAUCCAGGGGCCCCAACACACCCAGGAGAUGCUACGUGCUGUGUCUCUUGGGGGUUUAUUGAAAACUUCGACCCACACAUCGCCAACAUCACAUUAAUACGUCUAUCGGCGCUGAGGAGGCAGCGAGGGAUGAAACCAUUACCCGCCGGUGAAGACAAAGCGGCGGGGCAGAUAUGAGCCUGGAGAAGUCCUGGAGAAGUCCUGGAGAAGAAGCAGCCGGUGUUUUUGAAGGCCCUGCUGCUGUGAUUUAGAGCCAGAUGAGAGAGGAGGACGCAGGAGGCCCUGGAUGAAGGAAUGCUUCCACCCUUCCUGAUGUUAACUGCCCCACUGGGAGGAACACCAGCAGGGACCUCUAAGGAUGCGACACUGCAGAGCUUUCACUCAAAACCCCCACGUCAGGUCAUACUUUUUAGAGGUGCUCUAAAUCAGUGGCGCACAACCUCCGAGUCAUUCGUGUGCAAAAUAUAAAAAAUGUUUUGAAUUUGGAAAAAUGGCGGCAUCCUCUCCCAAUUACAUGUGCUUGGUCCUGUUUUUGGUCUGACGCUUUACUGCUUGGUUGUACAAUGUUUUCAUUAUAAUCCUACAAACAACGUAACAGCUUUUGCCUGGUCAGCGUCAGCCAGAACUAUUGCUGUUUGCUUGGGGGUUCAAAUACUUAUUUUCUGCAUCAAAUGCAAAUAAAGUCAGAAAUGUUAUAAAA